AUCGUGAGUUUUUCUCUUUCUUAACUUAAACAUAUAUAUUUGUCUCUUUUUUCUACCGGUUUAUGAAUUUAAUUAGGCGCAUUCCAAUCUGCACAAGGGACCAUGCCAAUAAUUAACAUGCUAUGAACUUGGAACAUCAUUUUUUAGGCCAAACUACGAAUCUGGAAUACAUUAUAUAUAAUUAGGAACAUGUGGAUGUUUAGUAAUUUUGAAUAUUGUAUGUUUUGCUCCUUACAGAACGGAAACUGAUCAAUGGUGCCUACGAGAGAAGUGGACAUGGAGGGCGCGUUGCCUAUGGACGUGGUGUCUACAACCGUGGAGGGCAAGGUACCUAUGGACGUGGUGUCUACAACCGUGGAGGAAAAGGUGGUCACAGACGUGAGCGAGACCCCUACAGUCGAGGAGGGAAAGGAUAAGGUCGAGACCAUGACCACUAUGAAAGACCAGGACCUGGAACUGCUGAGACUGAAACAAAGAAUCA
rnacentral:lncRNA from 1 species